rnacentral:rRNA from 1 species
AAUAGCAUACUCAUUUGACGUUAGCUGCAGAAGAAGCACCGGCUAACUCCGUGCCAGCAGCCGCGGUAAUACGGAGGGUGCGAGCGUUAAUCGGAAUUACUGGGCGUAAAGCGCAUGCAGGUGGUUUGUUAAGUCAGAUGUGAAAGCCCGGGGCUCAACCUCGGAAUUGCAUUUGAAACUGGCAAACUAGAGUACUGUAGAGGGGGUAGAAUUUCAGGUGUAGCGGUGAAAUGCGUAGAGAUCUGAAGGAAUACCGGUGGCGAAGGCCGGCCCCCUGGACAGAUACUGACACUCAGAUGCGAAAGCGGUGGGGAGACAAACAGGAUUAGAUACCCUGGUAG